GAUUCGCCCGCCGCGCCCCGCGCCCGUCCCGCCGCCCCCGCCCGCUCCUACGGGAGGCAGCAGGGGGGGAUAUUGGACAAUGGGGGGAACCCUGAUCCAGCGACGCCGCGUGAGUGAAGAAGUAUCUCGGUAUGUAAAGCUCUAUCAGCAGGGAAGAAAGAAAUGACGGUACCUGAGUAAGAAGCCCCGGCUAACUACGUGCCAGCAGCCGCGGUAAUACAAUCCAUAUGACUAG
rnacentral:rRNA from 1 species